UACUGUGGAAUCAAUGAAGAGCAGAAAGGA
rnacentral:piRNA from 1 species